rnacentral:piRNA from 1 species
GAAAAGAAUAUAGUACUGAAGAAAAAAC